UACGUAGGUGGCAAGCGUUGUCCGGAUUUACUGGGCGUAAAGAGCGCGCAGGCGGUCGUUCAAGUCGCGUGUGAAAGCCCCCGGCUCAACUGGGGAGGGUCACGCGAUACUGAUCGACUCGAAGGCAGGAGAGGGAAGUGGAAUUCCCGGUGUAGAGGUGAAAUGCGUAGAUAUCUGGAGGAACACCGGUGGCGAAGGCGGCAUCCUGGACCAACACUGACGCUGAGGAGCGAAAGCCAGGGGAGCAAACGGG
rnacentral:rRNA from 1 species